rnacentral:lncRNA from 1 species
CAAUACCAAGUUUACUUUCCACAGCAGUCACUGACUGACUCAGAGUGAGAGAUGUCAGAGAAGGUAUUUUAUUUCACUCAUUGGUUAUUAUAUUUUAUUAAAUGUCUGUUAGCGAUGCACCGACGUAUAGUCAUCAAUGUGCUGAUGGAUCGUCGUAUGAUGUAGAUGUAGAUUUCAAUUCGUAUCUUAUCACCUUUUUUCCUACGUUAAUUCUAGGAGGAACCCCAUUCCUAACUCUUUAAAUAUUUAAUUUCCUUUGGGUCAGUCAUCAUGGCUCCUUUCCGUACACAUUUAUCGGUUUAAAUUGCACUCGUUUUUA